rnacentral:tRNA from 1 species
GCGGAUGUGGCGGAAUUGGUAGACGCGCUAGAUUUAGGUUCUAGUUCUGCAAGGAGUGAAGGUUCAAGUCCUUUCAUCCGCA